CAUGCGCAGUAGCCUACAUAUCCGCUCACUCAAGCAACAUGGCCACGCACGGCCACCUGUCAAAAUCAUUUUUUUAUUUCAUAAAUAAGUUUCGUUACAAUAAAUAAUGGUUUGGUGUAGGCUAAUUAAUGAAAUUUCCGUUUGAUAGCAGUACUUAAAAUUUGAUAAUUAGGUAACCUUUUGGUCACGAUGCUAAAGGUUUACGUUUGUAAUACAUAAAAAAAAAAUCUGUUUUUUUUUGUUUAGACCCAUGUUUUAUUUUCUUUUUAAAACUGAGAGCCACUAAUAUAUCCAGAAUUUGUUUAGUUGGAGGACGAUCAAUAUAAAGAUUUUAAAUAGCCUUUUUAUAACAUCAUUAAAUAUCCCUUCGUGGCGAAAGUCUAGCUACUUAAACUUUGGAAAUGUGAAGUUCUUCCUGAUGUCAUUAUUUUGCGACACUGCCAACUUGCUGCCUAUGCUUGCUCCCCAUAUUGAUAAAAGAAACCUCUCCGCUCCGUGUUGUCAAAAGGGAUUGUGGGCAAGACAAGUCAAGAGGAAGACGUGCGGGUUGAAACCAAGCCUCAACGAGAUCGACGGAUCUACUCUUCUUAUUAGUGAACUCAAACUUCUUUCAUUUACUUUUAGUAGGCCUACCAUCUCCUGUGGAUGUGCUACCCUUCCUGAGGAUUCUGUCAUUCCACAUCUACUGAUUCCUCAAGAUUAAUUUUGGCUGUGCAUGUGUAACCCUUUGUGAACACAAAGUGGGACAGUGCUAGUCGGCUGCAGGGCCAGCUGAGCUCAAUGGGGUGCACCAUCGGGGAGCUGGUGGGCCUCUUGGCGUCACUCUUUCAUCAUCAAUGUUGCUGUUCUGGAUGGACUUGGCAGCUCUGCUGUAGUCUCCUCUGGCACUAAAGACCCACUGGAGUGACAGACCACGAGCCUACAGCACAUACACAUUUUAAUGCACAAAAAAGAUUAGUGUUGUGUGUGUUAAUCCGUCUCUCUAUAAAAACUUUUCAAAUCUGAAA